GCUGCCGUAGCUCAGUUGGUUAGAGCGCCUGACUGUGGAUCAGGAGGUCGAUGGUUCAAAUCCACCCGGCAGUA
rnacentral:tRNA from 1 species